rnacentral:rRNA from 1 species
CAGUCGCCGCGGGAAUACGAAGGGGGCUAGCGUUGCUCGGAAUGACUGGGCGUAAAGGGCGCGUAGGCGGAUGGCACAGUCAGAUGUGAAAUUCCCGGGCUCAACCUGGGGGCUGCAUUCGAUACGUGUUGUCUAGAGUGAGGAAGAGGGUUGUGGAAUUCCCAGUGUAGAGGUGAAAUUCGUAGAUAUUGGAAAGAACACCGGUGGCGAAGGCGGCGACCUGGCCUUUAACUGACGCUGAGGCGCGAAAGCGUGGGGAGCAAACAGGAUUAGAUACCCCCGUAGUCCCUGUCUCUUAUAC